GCCGUAUUAUGUUGAAACUCCAGUUCCCGAACGACCACAGAAGUUAAGCAACGUUGAGCUUGGUCACGGCCUAGAUGGGUGACCUCUUGGGAAUAGCAGGUGCUGAAA